AACUGCGGAAGUCAACUCUCAAACACUGUCUUCUUCUGUGGGCGAGUCAUCCAAAAACGGUGCCAGCUGGGAAACGACCUACGACGAUGACAGCAAGUAAAGAGCAUUUGCCUGGCGCCUGGCGACUGUCGACCGAUUUUCCUUUUCGCCAAUGUGUUUCAUUAUUUUUCUACAAAUAUAUUUACUUAUUUAAGUUCAA